CUUGUGGGCAAUCAUAGAAUGACUCUUAUUAUUUACACAGACAUGGUGUUAAACUGCCUUAUUUUGUGGUUAAAUUUUAUACUUAUAAAGAUUGUUAUUGCAUGAUAAUUGUUUGAUAAACAUUGAGCAUGAUAAAUGAUAAGACUUUGUCUUCAGUAAACGCUUUAAUGAGAUUCUGUAGUCUGGGGUGAAUUCUUCAAGUUAGAAAUCAUACAGUUCGACUGCAGGGGUUUGAAUUGACCUGAAUCAAUACUAAAAUUUAAAACCUCAGUGACAAUUAUUAUUAUUAUUUUGUUAAAAGUUUGGCAUAUUGCAUAAAUUGUGUUUUACUGAAAAGCUUAUAUUGAAAUAUUCUACAUUCUACCAAUGAUAAAACUGCUAGACGGUAAGAUUUGUGAAGGAGGGCCACUGAGUUGUGUUUAAAAUCACUACGAUAUAGUGGUUUUCAAUUUGCAUAACACUGACUGUAAAAUAUGUAUUUUAGGUAUGGGAAUGACAUAUUUUGAGUUUUGAUAUUUGGUAUCAUUUCCAAACAUCAAUGAUCUGAUCUGAUAUUUCACUCAAAGUGAUCAGAUUCUAACAUUAUUUCUCCUGUGUUUUCAGGCUCUUCUCUGAUCAUCCCUCUGGUUCUGUUUUUUCUGGUUCUGAUCACAGCUGGACUCUUAUUACUGUUUUUCUGUAAGAAGCGUCAGUCUCAAGGCGGUGAUUCGUCAUCUCAGACUGGACCAAGAAAACAUGAAGUGGUUUCUCACACUGGUUGUGAUUAUGAGGAGAUUAAAGACGCUCACAAACAAUUACCCACAAACCCCUCUGAUUAUUCUAACUGCGUUUACGCUACAGUUCAGAAAGCCACUGGUGACUCUCAGUGCUGCAUCACAUCUGCUGAGGAUCUGAAUUACGCAGUGGUGAAUUUCCACAAGAAAUCUGACUGUCCUGACAGUGUCAGUAGCAGGAAUAAUCAGGAUUACAGUGAAUACGCUACUGUCAAUCAUCUCACUGCUUGACCAACAACAGCAGAGAAUAUAAAUGAGCUGAAUGUUUUAUCACCUUGUCUUUGGCAUUAAGUUUGCGUGUUUGGUGUUUCUUGUAAGUCUUCAGUGAUGCUCCUUUUCCUUAUAUUUUAGUCAGUCUUGUGAAUCAGACUUUUGACUGUUGGCAUGAAGUCUGAUGAAUGUUUAAAUUACAGCGCAGUGUUUUGUUCUGCAGACGACAAUGAAAGAAAUGAUCAGAAGCUUUUGGUCAGAGUUUGAUAUAAAUAAGUACUGAAUGUUUCAGACAAAAGUGUAAAAUUAAAGCAGAAUAUACAGCUGUGUUCUAAUUUAUAAAGCUAACAAACUUUAGCACAUGCAGCAACUGUUGUUUUUUUCUCUCAGUUCUCAUUUUAACAGAUAACUUAACCUGAUAACUUAAAAACCCCAGAUGAGGUUGUGAUAUUGUUUGCAAAUGUAAUAUGCAUGAAUUAUGGAAAGCUGAAAUGCACAUAAAAGCACAAUGUCUGAGCUUUAUGAGUGUCCAUUGUGAAGCCUGAGGUCUUUUUAGCUUUUGCUCUAAAAAUGUUUAUUCCAGAAAAUUGACUCCCCACUGAUGUAAUUGUAAUGUAACAGAGACUCGUUCGAACUCAGGUUGUUAUUAUGCCUCUCCCUCUUUCUCAUUUGGGGUUCAGUAGAUUUAGUUUAGCGCUCUGAUAUUUUUACUAAAGGUAAAGGGGGAGUGGAACAUCUCAAUAUUUAAGCCCUUUCUCUAGCUGAAGACGCUGCAUGUGGUGUCGUCAGUGGGGCCUGAGUGCUAUAGUCACCACACCACAUGUGCUGAACAAACAAGUCCGAUCCAUGGAGGCUCCACCUCACAACUUACAGGACUUACAGGAACUUACAGGACUUUAUGGAUCCGGUGACACAUGUGCAUUCAUUGACUUGAAGAAGUCUUACUUGGUUGGUUGUGAUCAUAUGUUUUCCAUCUCCAAGAGAAGAAUAUGCUGGAAGGAACACCAUCGUGAAAUGAUGCUCAAACCACUCUUGUACUGGAGCUGAAUGGUGAAAGUGGAAAUUGUCCCACAACUACACAAUUUCGCUCAGUUUGCUCCUGAUCACUCUGUGGAAAGUUGAUUUCAUUGAGGGAGUUUAAACAAUUUAGAAGCCUUUCUGUGUUUUGCGACCCCAAGACAGCGUUGUGUGUAUUAAAAAUGUAUGUGUAUAUAUAUGCAAAAGCCUCUAAGUGCCAUCUGAAAUUUUCUUCUAAAAUGAGCAUUUUUAUCAAGCUCGUAUAGGUCAUUUUCAUUGCCAUUAAAGUGUAAUAA